ensembl:misc_RNA Metazoa_SRP Metazoan signal recognition particle RNA
GCUGGGUAUGGUGGUGCAUGCCUGUAGUCCCACCUACUCAGGAGGCUGAGGUGAGAGGAUUGCUUGAGCCUGGGAGGUCGAGGCUGCAGUGAGCCAUGAUCAUGCCACUGCACUCCAGCCUGAGUGACAGAGUGAGACCUUGUCUCUU